rnacentral:rRNA from 1 species
AGUGAACGCUGGCGGCGUGCCUAAUACAUGCAAGUCGAACGGAGUGGCGCACGGGUGAGUAAUGUAUAGCUAAUCUGCCCUACACUAGAGGACAACAGUUGGAAACGGCUGCUAAUACUCUACAGUGUAGGAUGAGGCUAUAUUGUAUCAGCUAGUUGGUGAGGUAAUGGCUCACCAAGGCUAUGACGCAUAACUGGUCUGAGCGGAUGAUCAGUCGAACUGGAACGGAGACCCGGUCCAGACUCCUACGGGAGGCAGCAGUAGGGAAUAUGGCUCAAGGGGCGAAACCCUGAGGCAGCAGCUCCGCGUAGAGGAUGACACGUUUCGUAGCAUAAACUCCUUUUGUUAGGGAAGCGGUACCUAACGAAUAAGCACCGGCUAACUCCGUGCCAGCCGCCGCGGUAAUUC